rnacentral:lncRNA from 1 species
AUUAGGUAACACUGAAUUAUCUUAUUUAGGUUCAAACUUAGUAAUGAAGACAAUUUCUGCCCUGAGAAACUGGAUGUUGACUUGAUCUAACUUAAUGAUGGAAAACACCUGAGACCAAUGAGCCCUGAACGAAAACUCCUGUGUCCUCCAGCUGUGGGUUCUGCCAAGUUGUGACCAAGGGUAAUCUGGAUUUCUUUGGGUCAAAGAUAAGGAUAAAUACCA